ensembl:lncRNA
GCCAGCAGGUGGCAGCAUGUCACUGUUAAUAAGUGAGUCACUGCGACUGAACCGAAUCAUUUAAACGGGUGAUUCAUUUAGGAACGAAACACCGUCAAGUUGCUCAAAGACGCAAAACAGCUUGGUGGCUUUGUUUGGAAUUAUUUUUGUUGGCGAAGUAGAGCAAAAACAGGCGAUAUGGUGUCUAAAACAUCACAUGAAAUAUGUCCUGUCCUCUGCUGGUGUGCAUUAAGGACUGUUGUCCCAGUUCCAUUUUAAUGGGACAGACAUGAGUGACGAAUGGAGAACAGCCGUCUGAGUGCUUUAAACACUAAUGCAAUGCAAAUGGAGCAACAUAAUGUGCUGGGCAGUGGGACGCGGUUUGCUUGUGUUAGUGUUUCCGAGAACACACACAUGCUGUAUUCUGGCAGUGUUCAGAGUUAAUCCCCACUCAGCCACGCUCCACGCUCACGCUGCAAGACGGCAAAUGUAACACAAAAACACGCUGGAAAAAGACAGGACGGUGUCUAUUAACACACGACUCUUUUAUCAAGAAUUCAUGGAUUAUUUCAGAUCUCUCUUUCUCCUUGAUUUGCUUCCAAACACUAUGUUUUUCAAGUGAUUUUACUACUGAUGCUGCAUUGUCUUAUGAUCCAUA